rnacentral:rRNA from 1 species
UACCAGCACCCCGAGUGGUCGGGACGAUUAUUGGGCCUAAAGCAUCCGUAGCCGGUUCUACAAGUCUUCCGUUAAAUCCACCUGCUUAACAGAUGGGCUGCGGAGGAUACUAUGGAGCUAGGAGGCGGGAGAGGCAAGCGGUACUUAGUGGGUAGGGGUAAAAUCCGUUGAUCCAAUGAAGACCACCAGUGGCGAAGGCGGCUUGCCAGAACGCACUCGACGGUGAGGGAUGAAAGCUGGGGGAGCAAACCGG